UACGUAGGGGGCAAGCGUUGUCCGGAUUUAUUGGGCGUAAAGAGCGUGUAGGCGGCCAGGUAGGUCCGUUGUGAAAACUCGAGGCUCAACCUCGAGACGUCGAUGGAAACCAUCUGGCUAGAGUCCGGAAGAGGAGAGUGGAAUUCCUGGUGUAGCGGUGAAAUGCGUAGAGAUCAGGAGGAACACCCGUGGCGAAGGCGGCUCCCUGGUCCGGUUCUGACGCUGAGGAACGAAAGCUAGGGGAGCAAACAGG
rnacentral:rRNA from 1 species